AGUCAAUAGAUACCCUGGUAGUCCAUGCCGUAAACGAUGAUUGCUAGGUGUGGGGGGUCUGACCCCUUCCGUGCCGGAGUUAAACACAAUAAGCAAUCCACCUGGGGAGUACGGCCGCAAGGUUGAAACUCAAAGGAAUUGACGGGGGCCCGCACAAGCAGUGGAGUAUGUGGUUUAAAUUCGAAGCAACGCGAAGAACCUUACCAGGUCUUGACAUCCACCGAAUCCUGUAGAGAUACGGGAGUGCCCUUCGGGGAACGGUGAGACAGGUGGUGCAUGGUUGUCGUCAGCUCGUGUCGUGAGAUGUUGGGUUAAGUCCCGCAACGAGCGCAACCCUUGUGAAUAGUUGCUACGAAAGAGCACUCUAUUCAGACCGCCGUUGACAAAACGGAGGAAGGUGGGGAUGACGUCAAAUCAUCAUGCCCCUUAUGACCUGGGCUACACACGUACUACAAUGGUCGUCAACAGAGGGAAGCAAGACCGCGAGGUGGAGCGAACCCCUAAAAACGAUCUCAGUUCAGAUUGCAGGCUGAAACUCG
rnacentral:rRNA from 1 species